rnacentral:rRNA from 1 species
GGGUUGUGAGGUUAAGCGACUAAGCGUACACGGUGGAUGCCCUGGCAGUCAGAGGCGAUGAAGGACGUGCUAAUCUGCGAUAAGCGUCGGUAAGGUGAUAUGAACCGUUAUAACCGGCGAUUUCCGAAUGGGGAAACCCAGUGUGUUUCGACACACUAUCAUUAACUGAAUCCAUAGGUUAAUGAGGCGAACCGGGGGAACUGAAACAUCUAAGUACCCCGAGGAAAAGAAAUCAACCGAGAUUCCCCCAGUAGCGGCGAGCGAACGGGGAGCAGCCCAGAGCCUGAAUCAGUGUGUGUGUUAGUGGAAGCGUCUGGAAAGGCGCGCGAUACAGGGUGACAGCCCCGUACACAAAAAUGCACAUACUGUGAGCUCGAUGAGUAGGGCGGGACACGUGGUAUCCUGUCUGAAUAUGGGGGGACCAUCCUCCAAGGCUAAAUACUCCUGACUGACCGAUAGUGAACCAGUACCGUGAGGGAAAGGCGAAAAGAACCCCGGCGAGGGGAGUGAAAAAGAACCUGAAACCGUGUACGUACAAGCAGUGGGAGCACGCUUAGGCGUGUGACUGCGUACCUUUUGUAUAAUGGGUCAGCGACUUAUAUUCUGUAGCAAGGUUAACCGAAUAGGGGAGCCGAAGGGAAACCGAGUCUUAACUGGGCGUUAAGUUGCAGGGUAUAGACCCGAAACCCGGUGAUCUAGCCAUGGGCAGGUUGAAGGUUGGGUAACACUAACUGGAGGACCGAACCGACUAAUGUUGAAAAAUUAGCGGAUGACUUGUGGCUGGGGGUGAAAGGCCAAUCAAACCGGGAGAUAGCUGGUUCUCCCCGAAAGCUAUUUAGGUAGCGCCUCGUGAAUUCAUCUCCGGGGGUAGAGCACUGUUUCGGCAAGGGGGUCAUCCCGACUUACCAACCCGAUGCAAACUGCGAAUACCGGAGAAUGUUAUCACGGGAGACACACGGCGGGUGCUAACGUCCGUCGUGAAGAGGGAAACAACCCAGACCGCCAGCUAAGGUCCCAAAGUCAUGGUUAAGUGGGAAACGAUGUGGGAAGGCCCAGACAGCCAGGAUGUUGGCUUAGAAGCAGCCAUCAUUUAAAGAAAGCGUAAUAGCUCACUGGUCGAGUCGGCCUGCGCGGAAGAUGUAACGGGGCUAAACCAUGCACCGAAGCUGCGGCAGCGACGCUGAUGCGUUGUUGGGUAGGGGAGCGUUCUGUAAGCCUGCGAAGGUGUGCUGUGAGGCAUGCUGGAGGUAUCAGAAGUGCGAAUGCUGACAUAAGUAACGAUAAAGCGGGUGAAAAGCCCGCUCGCCGGAAGACCAAGGGUUCCUGUCCAACGUUAAUCGGGGCAGGGUGAGUCGACCCCUAAGGCGAGGCCGAAAGGCGUAGUCGAUGGGAAACAGGUUAAUAUUCCUGUACUUGGUGUUACUGCGAAGGGGGGACGGAGAAGGCUAUGUUGGCCGGGCGACGGUUGUCCCGGUUUAAGCGUGUAGGCUGGUUUUCCAGGCAAAUCCGGAAAAUCAAGGCUGAGGCGUGAUGACGAGGCACUACGGUGCUGAAGCAACAAAUGCCCUGCUUCCAGGAAAAGCCUCUAAGCAUCAGGUAACAUCAAAUCGUACCCCAAACCGACACAGGUGGUCAGGUAGAGAAUACCAAGGCGCUUGAGAGAACUCGGGUGAAGGAACUAGGCAAAAUGGUGCCGUAACUUCGGGAGAAGGCACGCUGAUAUGUAGGUGAAGUCCCUCGCGGAUGGAGCUGAAAUCAGUCGAAGAUACCAGCUGGCUGCAACUGUUUAUUAAAAACACAGCACUGUGCAAACACGAAAGUGGACGUAUACGGUGUGACGCCUGCCCGGUGCCGGAAGGUUAAUUGAUGGGGUCAGCGCAAGCGAAGCUCUUGAUCGAAGCCCCGGUAAACGGCGGCCGUAACUAUAACGGUCCUAAGGUAGCGAAAUUCCUUGUCGGGUAAGUUCCGACCUGCACGAAUGGCGUAAUGAUGGCCAGGCUGUCUCCACCCGAGACUCAGUGAAAUUGAACUCGCUGUGAAGAUGCAGUGUACCCGCGGCAAGACGGAAAGACCCCGUGAACCUUUACUAUAGCUUGACACUGAACAUUGAGCCUUGAUGUGUAGGAUAGGUGGGAGGCUUUGAAGUGUGGACGCCAGUCUGCAUGGAGCCGACCUUGAAAUACCACCCUUUAAUGUUUGAUGUUCUAACGUUGACCCGUGAUCCGGGUUGCGGACAGUGUCUGGUGGGUAGUUUGACUGGGGCGGUCUCCUCCUAAAGAGUAACGGAGGAGCACGAAGGUUGGCUAAUCCUGGUCGGACAUCAGGAGGUUAGUGCAAUGGCAUAAGCCAGCUUGACUGCGAGCGUGACGGCGCGAGCAGGUGCGAAAGCAGGUCAUAGUGAUCCGGUGGUUCUGAAUGGAAGGGCCAUCGCUCAACGGAUAAAAGGUACUCCGGGGAUAACAGGCUGAUACCGCCCAAGAGUUCAUAUCGACGGCGGUGUUUGGCACCUCGAUGUCGGCUCAUCACAUCCUGGGGCUGAAGUAGGUCCCAAGGGUAUGGCUGUUCGCCAUUUAAAGUGGUACGCGAGCUGGGUUUAGAACGUCGUGAGACAGUUCGGUCCCUAUCUGCCGUGGGCGCUGGAGAACUGAGGGGGGCUGCUCCUAGUACGAGAGGACCGGAGUGGACGCAUCACUGGUGUUCGGGUUGUCAUGCCAAUGGCACUGCCCGGUAGCUAAAUGCGGAAGAGAUAAGUGCUGAAAGCAUCUAAGCACGAAACUUGCCCCGAGAUGAGUUCUCCCUGACUCCUUGAGAGUCCUGAAGGAACGUUGAAGACGACGACGUUGAUAGGCCGGGUGUGUAAGCGCAGCGAUGCGUUGAGCUAACCGGUACUAAUGAACCGUGAGGCUUAACCUUACAACGCCGAAG